rnacentral:rRNA from 1 species
GCAAUAUGUCAGUGGCAGACGGGUGAGAAGAGACCCGGGGAAACGUACCUUUUGGUUUCGGAACAACCACAGGGAAAACUAGUGCUUAAUACCCGGAUAAGCCCUUUACGGGGAAAGAUUUAUCGCCGAAAAGAUCGGCCCCGCGUCUGAUUAGCUAGUUGGUAGGGUAAAUGGCCUUACCAAGGCGACGAUCAGUAGCUGGUCUGGAGAGGAUGAUCAGCCACAUUGGGACUGAGACACGGCCCAAACUCCUACGGGAGGCAGCAGUGGGGAAUAUUGGACAAUGGGCGAAAGCCUGAUCCAGCCAUGCCGCGUGAGUGAUGAAGGCCCUAGGGUUGUAAAGCUCUUUUGUGCGGGAAGAUAAUGACGGUACCGCAAGAAUAAGCCCCGGCUAACUUCGUGCCAGCAGCCGCGGUAAUACGAAGGGGGCUAGCGUUGCUCGGAAUCACUGGGCGUAAAGGGUGCGUAGGCGGGUUUUUAAGUCAGAGGUGAAAUCCUGGAGCUCAACUCCAGAACUGCCUUUGAUACUGAAAGUCUUGAGUAUGACAGAGGUGAGUGGAACUGCGAGUGUAGAGGUGAAAUUCGUAGAUAUUCGCAAGAACACCAGUGGCGAAGGCGGCUCACUGGGUCAUUACUGACGCUGAGGCACGAAAGCGUGGGGAGCUAUUUUUAUUAGAUACCCUGGUAGUCCACGCCGUAAUUUUACGACCGCUUGCCGUUAGUGGGUUUACUCACUAGUGGCGCAGCUAACGCUCUAAGCAUCCCGGCAUGGAAGUACGGUCGCAAGAUUAAAACUCAAAGGAAUUGACGGGGGCCCGCACAAGCGGUGGAGCAUGUGGGUUUAAUUCGAACGCAACGCGCAGAACCUUACCAGCCCUUGAACAUGUCUAGGAAUCGGUCGCAGAAGAUGUGGACCCUUUCUCUCUUCGGAGCCUAGAGCACAGGUGCUGCAUGGCUGUCGUCAGCUCGUGUCGUGAGAUGUUGGGUUAAGUCCCGCAACGAGCGCAACCCCCGUCCUUAGUUGCUACCAUUUAGUUGAGCACUCUAGGGAGACUGCCCGUGAUAAGCCGCGAGGAAGGUGGGGGAUGACGUCAGUCUC